GUGAGGAAUAUUGGUCAAUGGACGGAAGUCUGAACCAGCCAUGCCGCGUGCAGGAAUAAGGUCCUAUGGAUUGUAAACUGCUUUUAUUCGGGAAUAAACCUCUUUACGUGUAGGGAGCUGAAGGUACCGAAGGAAUAAGCACCGGCUAACUCCGUGCCAGCAGCCGCGGUAAUACGGAGGGUGCAAGCGUUAUCCGGAAUCACUGGGUUUAAAGGGUACGUAGGCGGUUAAUUAAGUCAGUAGUUAAAGACUGUCGCUCAACGACGGAUGUGCUAUUGAUACUGGUUAACUUGAAUCAGGUUAGAGUUGGCGGAAUGGGUCAUGUAGCGGUGAAAUGCUUAGAUAUGACUUGGAACACCGAUAGCGAAGGCAGCUGACUGAGCCUUGAUAGACGCUGAGGUACGAAAGUGUGGGUAGCGAACAGGAUUAGAUACCCGAGUAGUCC
rnacentral:rRNA from 1 species